rnacentral:sRNA from 1 species
AUGACGCGGCAAUCGCUUCGAUGGAGCGGGAGGAGCAGCGGCUAAAGCUUGCUUACGUGGAGGGCAAGCU